UACGAAGGGGGCUAGCGUUGUUCGGAAUCACUGGGCGUAAAGCGCACGUAGGCGGAUCUUUAAGUCAGGGGUGAAAUCCCGAGGCUCAACCUCGGAACUGCCUUUGAUACUGGGGAUCUCGAGUCCGGAAGAGGUGAGUGGAACUGCGAGUGUAGAGGUGAAAUUCGUAGAUAUUCGCAAGAACACCAGUGGCGAAGGCGGCUCACUGGCCCGGAACUGACGCUGAGGUGCGAAAGCGUGGGGAGCAAACAGGG
rnacentral:rRNA from 1 species